UGCCUCGGCCCGGCCUCUGUCUCCCGUCGUGGGGGUCGUCGUGGUUGCUGUUCUCGUUGCAGUGAGAGGAUCCGCUCCUGGGGGCAGAGGGAGACCCUUGGGAAGAUUCGACACACUCACUUAAUGUUGGGCUUGGCUUUGUUAAGGACAUGCUUGCACGAGGGGCAGUUGGACUCGCCGUUGAGGUGUUUCAAGAUGCAGCUUCUGCAGACUGAAGAAGGGACACGGAUUAAGCGACAUCCACGAGCAACGUCGUUUGUAAUUAAAUAUUAGGACCCCUAGAGGGUCGUAUACGUACACGAGUGGAGACACUCGACCACGGUGAUCGCGUCGAUGAGGUACCCCUUGCAGAGCGGGCAGAUCAGCGGACCCUACAAACACAAGAUGUGGUGCAGCACAUGGAAGAAGCGAGAGAAAAUCGAGCGCCGUUCAAUGGGAUUCCAACGAAGGAGAUUUCACGGGCAGGCCCGUUCUACCUCCACAAAAACAUCUUUGGUGUAAAAAAAUAACUCAGCCGACCACAUUUAUCUUUCCGCGAUUAAUUGUAAAAAUAGCUCAAAUCAACUAUCCCCUUAAGGGAGCCUUCACGGGUAGCGCCGAGGCGACGCGACGUCCGUUCGAUUUGGCAACGCCGGAUGGACCGCGACCGGCUCGUAAAAGAAGGCACAGGGAUUCGGAGAAGCGAGCGCCAUGUCGUCUCUCUGGCAACGGCGGCGACGUCGAUACGCCGAUCCUCGUUCGAAUCGAGGGAACAGGAUCACCGAAGUUAAGCAACGUUGGGUGGGGUCAAAUAUCCGAUGUUAAAUACCAAGAGCACCGCACACGCGUUCCUAUGAACGCUGAUAAAACGGGGAAAAAAAAAAAGAAGCGUGCACAUGUUAUCCGCGACACAACAAUGCCUCGUUCGCCCACUAUGGGGCCACGACUCCA